AUCCAGCCCUUUUUCUCUCCCUAAACUUCUACGAGCAGCCGUCUCCCUCAAUCCCUGCUACCAGACGCCCUUUGCAGCCUCUCUCUCUCUCUCUCUCUCUCUCUCUCUCAAUGCAACCCUGGCCGUGCAGCCCUCUCUCUCCCUUCUUCAAUCCCUCCUUCAACGAAGCAACCAUAGCAUGGGUCCAGAUCUGGAUCUGGAUUCAACGGUUCUGGCUCGGGAUUUGGACAUGAUUCAGGAUCAGGAAGCGGUUAUAGGUCAGGCUGUGUCAUAUCUUUCCAUAUCAGUGGGUAGGUCUCAUCCAUGAUAGGGUGGGACACUCAAUUCUUCUGUCCUCAUGCUGUUCUCCUAAUGUCAUUUUCCUCCAAAAUCCUAAGCUUGUAUCCUUCCUAUAAUAAAAACACCUAGGGAAAUUGUUCUUAGUAUGUGAUCUGUGCUAAUUGUGCUACUCGGUCCAAUCAGACUACUCUAAUCCAGCAGCAAAUCUUUGCUAAUUGUGCUACUCAAUCC